UAAUACGUAGGGGGCGAGCGUUAUCCGGAUUUACUGGGCGUAAAGCGCGUGUAGGUGGUUGCGCAAGUUGGUUGUGAAAUCUCCCGGCUCAACCGGGAAACUGCAGCCAAUACUGCGUGGCUAGAGUGGCAGAGAGGAAAGUGGAAUUCCCGGUGUAGUAGUGAAAUGCGUAGAUAUCGGGAGGAACACCAGCGGCGAAGGCGACUUUCUGGCUGCCAACUGACACUGAGACGCGAAAGCUAGGGGAGCGAACGGGAUUAGAUACCCCGGUAGUCCUAGCCCUAAACGAUGCACGCUAGGUGUUGGUCGUAUUGACGCGAUCAGUGCCGAAGCUAACGCAUUAAGCGUGCCGCCUGGGGAGUACGGUCGCAAGAUUA
rnacentral:rRNA from 1 species